rnacentral:rRNA from 1 species
GAUGAACGCUGGCGGCGUGCCUAAUACAUGCAAGUCGAGCGAACAGACGAGGAGCUUGCUCCUCUGACGUUAGCGGCGGACGGGUGAGUAACACGUGGAUAACCUACCUAUAAGACUGGGAUAACUUCGGGAAACCGGAGCUAAUACCGGAUAAUAUAUUGAACCGCAUGGUUCAAUAGUGAAAGACGGUUUUGCUGUCACUUAUAGAUGGAUCCGCGCCGCAUUAGCUAGUUGGUAAGGUAACGGCUUACCAAGGCAACGAUGCGUAGCCGACCUGAGAGGGUGAUCGGCCACACUGGAACUGAGACACGGUCCAGACUCCUACGGGAGGCAGCAGUAGGGAAUCUGCCGCAAUGGGCGGAAGCCUGACGGAGCGACGCCGCGUGAGUGAUGAAGGUCUUCGGAUCGUAAAACUCUGUUAUUAGGGAAGAACAAAUGUGUAAGUAACUAUGCACGUCUUGACGGUACCUAAUCAGAAAGCCACGGCUAACUACGUG